rfam:TPA: Bos taurus chromosome 18, whole genome shotgun sequence.
UCCCUGGUGGUCCAGUGGUUAAGACUCUGCACUCCUGAUGCAGGGGGCACAGGUGCCAUCCCUGGUUGGAGAA